rfam:Dipodomys ordii contig_13053, whole genome shotgun sequence.
GGGGAGGUAGCUCAGUGAUAGAGUGUUUGCCUUAUAUGCAUGAAACCCUAGGUUCGAUUCCUCAGCACCA